rnacentral:rRNA from 1 species
AACAGGAUUAGAUACCCUGGUAGUCCACGCUGUAAACGAUGUCGACUUGGAGGUUGUGCCCUUGAGGCGUGGCUUCCGGAGCUAACGCGUUAAGUCGACCGCCUGGGGAGUACGGCCGCAAGGUUAAAACUCAAAUGAAUUGACGGGGGCCCGCACAAGCGGUGGAGCAUGUGGUUUAAUUCGAUGCAGCGCGAAGAACCUUACCUACUCUUGACAUCCAGAGAAUUUGCUAGAGAUAGCUUAGUGCCUUCGGGAACUCUGAGACAGGUGCUGCAUGGCUGUCGUCAGCUCGUGUUGUGAAAUGUUGGGUUAAGUCCCGCAACGAGCGCAACCCUUAUCCUUUGUUGCCAGCACGUAAUGGUGGGAACUCAAAGGAGACUGCCGGUGAUAAACCGGAGGAAGGUGGGGAUGACGUCAAGUCAUCAUGGCCCUUACGAGUAGGGCUACACACGUGCUACAAUGGCAUAUACAAAGAGAAGCGAACUCGCGAGAGCAAGCGGACCUCAUAAAGUAUGUCGUAGUCCGGAUUGGAGUCUGCAACUCGACUCCAUGAAGUCGGAAUCGCUAGUAAUCGUAGAUCAGAAUGCUACGGUGAAUACGUUCCCGGGCCUUGUACACACCGCCCGUCACACCAUGGGAGUGGGUUGCAAAAGAAGUAGGUAGCUUAACCUUCGGGAGGGCGCUUACCACUUUGUGAUUCAUGACUGGGGUGAAGUCGUAACAAGGUAACC